AUUGAACGCUGGCGGCAUGCCUUACACAUGCAAGUCGAACGGCAGCACGGGAGCAAUCCUGGUGGCGAGUGGCGAACGGGUGAGUAAUAUAUCGGAACGUGCCCAGUCGUGGGGGAUAACGUAGCGAAAGCUACGCUAAUACCGCAUACGAUCUAUGGAUGAAAGCGGGGGAUCGCAAGACCUCGCGCGAUUGGAGCGGCCGAUAUCAGAUUAGGUAGUUGGUGAGGUAAAGGCUCACCAAGCCGACGAUCUGUAGCUGGUCUGAGAGGACGACCAGCCACACUGGGACUGAGACACGGCCCAGACUCCUACGGGAGGCAGCAGUGGGGGAAUUUUUGGGACAAUGGGCGCAAGCCUGAUCCAGCAAUGCCGCGUGCAGGAUGAAGGCCUGG
rnacentral:rRNA from 1 species